rnacentral:lncRNA from 1 species
GUGACAAGCCCAAGCCUUCACCAACUCCAUACUACUACAAAUCACCUCCACCUCCCUCACCUGUUUACAAGUACAACUCUCCACCUCCACCAGUCCAUUAUUAUUCACCACCAUAUUACUACAAAUCACCUCCUCCUCCAGUAAAAUCGCCACCAACACCUUACUACUACAAAUCACCUCCACCUCCCUCACCAGUUUACAAGUACAACUCACCACCUCCACCGGUCCAUUAUUACUCUCCUCCAUAUUCCUAUAAGUCGCCUCCACCUCCCUCACCAGUUUACAAAUACAACUCCCCACCUCCACCAGUCCACCAUUAUGAUCCUCCAUAUUACUACAAGUCACCUCCACCUCCCUCACCAGUUUACAAGUACAACUCCCCACCUCCACCAGUCCAUUAUUAUUCACCUCCAUAUUACUACAAAUCCCCACCUCCUCCUGUGAAAUCCCCACCACCCCCUUACUACUAUAAAUCACCUCCACCUCCCUCACCAGUUUACAAAUACAACUCACCACCUCCACCGGUUUACAAGUACAACUCACCACCUCCACCAGUCCACCAUUAUGAUCCUCCAUAUAACUACAAGUCACCUCCACCUCCUUCACCUGUUUACAAGUACAACUCCCCACCUCCACCAGUCCAUUAUUAUUCACCUCCAUAUUACUACAAAUCACNNN